UACGUAGGGGGCAAGCGUUGUCCGGAAUCAUUGGGCGUAAAGAGCGUGUAGGCGGCCCGGUAAGUCCGCUGUGAAAGUCCAGGGCUCAACCCUGGGAUGCCGGUGGAUACUGUCGGGCUCGAGUCCGGAAGAGGAGUGUGGAAUUCCUGGUGUAGCGGUGAAAUGCGCAGAUAUCAGGAGGAACACCGAUGGCGAAGGCAGGUCUCUGGGCAUUAACUGACGCUGAGGAGCGAAAGCAUGGGGAGCGAACAGGA
rnacentral:rRNA from 1 species